rnacentral:rRNA from 1 species
UACGGAGGGGCUAGCGUUGUUCGGAAUUACUGGGCGUAAAGCGCACGUAGGCGGCUUUGUAAGUCAGAGGUGAAAGCCCGGAGCUUAACUCCGGAAUUGCCUUUGAGACUGCAUCGCUUGAAUCCAGGAGAGGUGAGUGGAAUUCCGAGUGUAGAGGUGAAAUUCGUAGAUAUUCGGAAGAACACCAGUGGCGAAGGCGGCUCACUGGACUGGUAUUGACGCUGAGGUGCGAAAGCGUGGGGAGCAAACAGGG